UAUGGACAAGUCGGGCAGAAGAAUCUGGAAGAUUUACCCAUAUUAGGCAACUCAAAUUGCAACAUGUUCCCACAAGUCGGGCAAAACUCCAUUUGCUAAGUCCUGAAAUAUCAGCGAACAGAACCACAAUGGGGACCGAUGGUUGAAUUACGUAUCGACCAAAAUCAGACUUCCCCAAGGAUCGUUACUUCUCCGACAACCGUGAUAGAGAAAAAAGAGAGGAAGGCGCCGCCCGAAAGUACAGCACACUCGCCCUUUAAGCCUGGCGAUGCAAUCGACUUCCUCGAUGAGCGUCACUUCUCCGAUGUCGACGCGGAUUCUGCCGAUGUUAGCAGAGAAGAGGCCGAGCCUGCUUCCUGGCUUCUCCCACGUCGACGUCGCAGUGGUUGAG
rnacentral:misc_RNA from 1 species